rnacentral:lncRNA from 1 species
UUGUAUCUCCCAGCCUUAAGAUCAGGAUCAAAGGUGAACCCUCCAAUUCUGGAUUGUAGUUCAUUCCAGAUAUAGUCAAGUUGAGAACCAGGAAUAGCCACUAAAGUGGUAUAACAAGUCCCAAGACUCAAUAGGCCCUGAGACCAUAGCACACCAGACUCCCAGAUGGUGCCUUUCAAGUUCAACUCAAGCUGCAAUAACUAUCAUGUAGAUGGUUCCACUUGCCAAUACUAAAACAAAGACCCAAUCCAUCAAAAUCCAUAUAGAUCUAGGAAAUUCUCUAAAUGUACUAAGCUUGCAGUUUUGCUGCUGUAGUUCUUUUUCUGGCUAACAGUUCUUGUUAAUGAAAGUAUGUCAACCCAGGACAUGGUUGAUAUGUUAAAAGCUCACUCCCUCCCCCCAGAAAGGUUCAUUGUUGAACUGGGAUCCUGAACACACAGUUUACUUGCCAACUGACUAAAGAAGACAUUCUAUUGGCUUGAACUCAUGUCCCUGCAGUCUUCUCUGAUGAAUAACCAACAAACAAUGGGAUGUUGUGGAGGAAAUGCUGCAACAGAAAAGCUUUUGCCUUUAGGAGUCAAAUUUUCAUCAACUUUUCAAUAUCCAGAUAAAGGUCUCACAACACACAGAACCUGUACCUCAUCCAGGAGGGAGCUGCACAAAAUACUGAAUGAAAACGGAAUCCCA